AAACCCCCGAAUCCUGUCUUCAACUUUGGUCGGUUAGAACAGGAUCGAGGGGGCUAAAAUCUGGCUCGCUGCCAGUAAGGAUUAUAGCAAGUGUUCAAUCUUAAUCAAGACUUUUCUAAUCCG
rfam:Candidatus Regiella insecticola LSR1 plasmid pRILSR1, whole genome shotgun sequence.